GGGAAGGUGGCUCAAUAGUAGAGUGCUUGCCUCACAUGCAUGAGGCCCUGGGUUCGAUUCCCUAGCCCCA
rfam:Dipodomys ordii contig_10851, whole genome shotgun sequence.